rnacentral:rRNA from 1 species
UACGUAGGGGGCUAGCGUUGUCCGGAAUCAUUGGGCGUAAAGAGCGUGUAGGCGGCUCGGUAAGUCCGCUGUGAAAGUCCAGGGCUCAACCCUGGAAUGCCAGUGGAAACUGUCGAGCUAGAGUCCGGAAGAGGCGAGUGGGAAUUCCUGGUGUAGCGGUGAAAAUGCGGCAGAUAUCAGGAGGAACACCAAUGGCGAAGGCAGCUCUCUGGGUCCCUACCGACGCUGGGGUGCGAAAGCAUGGGGAGCGAACAGGG